AUUUUUUAUUUUUGGGAUAAUUGAUAUUUUCCUGAUUCAACAUGUUUUGGUUUUUUAAAUUUUUGGUGGACAGCCUCCGUCUUCUGCCUGGAAUUCCAAGGGAGAAACUUGCAGGGUUUCACGGGAAUUAAUUUUAGAGAAAUUUGGCCGUCAUCUGGAGUAGAGUAAUUUUACAUUCUGUUUUUCUUCUAAUGAUGUGACUCAAUACUUUGGUUUCAUUGUAAAGCAGAAUCUGUUAACCUAUCUCUUUGUGGAGCUUCAUUUCUAUCAAAUUUGCUAUAUGCGGGUAUUUGCGGAAUUUUGAGAUUGAUACCACUGGAAAGAAAAGGACUCACGGCGCUGUUCUGAUGUUAAAUGUGGGGAUGCUUUGCCAACAUCAGAGAUGAAUCCUGCAGAGCAACACAGCCGCAUGACAGAUGUUGUACUAUGCUUGGGAACCAGAUAACUCGAGCUUGCAUCCUCCCUUUAAAAUCACUUUGUGGUGGGGAUAAAAUCAUAAUUGUACACCUUAGUUUGCAGCCAACCCCAAAAGACAAGAAAGCAAGUUUGGUUAUCCAUGGCCUUGUUGAUAAGCAGGUAAUAACUGGAGAUAUUCAUGACCUUAAUCUUUGGAUUCCACCAUAUGUUCAAGUUGAUCCUGUCCAGAUUAGUCUUACUCAGUUCUCUAGACUAUCAAGAUCAGAGAACAAAUAUGUAAAAUGGUGGAUAGUGUUUUCGGACAUAAAGCUUCUUUGCCAUUCAUCACAUCAGUUGAGAGGUUUUCUUAGAUUGGCAAGAUCUCAAAUCAGCUGUUUUACUAAGCAACCCUUUGUGCUUAAAAGUUUGCAGGUGGCAUACUAUUUGGUUGAUCUUUUGGGCUUCACUUUUUGUUUCCUCUCAUGCAUCAACAAUCAAGCUCUAAAAGAACAAGGAGAUAGCAUCAGCCACGAUAAGGAUGUUAUGGUUGAGAUGUUGAGGAAUUCAGCAAUCCAAAAUCAGUGUUUAGGGCAGGUUUCUCUUGUCAAGAGAGAGAUUCUUCUAUCUCCAAAAAUGGAAAUUGCUGUGUGCACUGUUGCAACAAACAUUUUUCGGGUAUGACAGUUGUUUCGAGAACUCUAGAUUCUUUGAACAUACACUAAGGAACAAUGAUCAUUUGCUGAGAAUGCUAAAAGACAGCUUGAGAUGAUGUGCUAAUAGGACACGAAUGAAGGUUAACUGGAUUGCAUAGAUGAUGUUCCUUCAGAUGUUAAUGGUGAAGUUACUGUUAAUAUGAAUGGAUUGAUGGGUAAGUGGCCAUUUUGAUCCCAUCUUUGUAAAUGUUUAGAUUGCUUAAAACCAGUUUUGUAAAAGAAGUGAACACUCUUCAUUGUCUUCACAUGAGUAUGCUACUGCACAUGCUUAAUUCAGAUUUUCACUAUUUGGUGGUUGGAUUUCAUUAGAGAUCCAACCGCCUGCUGCCUGCUUACUGAAGAAAGAUUCAGAAUAUAGGUUCAUAAAAAAACAUGUGAUGAAUAUUUAAUGUCUAUAGGAAUCUA